rnacentral:rRNA from 1 species
GUCCACGCCGUAAACGAUGGGCACUAGGUGCUUGGGGGAGCGACCCUCUGAGUGCCGGCGCUAACGCAUUAAGUGCCCCGCCUGGGGAGUACGGCCGCAAGGCUGAAACUCAAAGGAAUUGACGGGGGCCCGCACAAGCGGUGGAGCAUGUGGUUUAAUUCGACGCAACGCGAAGAACCUUACCUAGGCUUGACAUACACGGGAAAGCUCUGAGAAACCAGGGCCCUCCUUCGGGACCCGUGCACAGGUGCUGCAUGGCUGUCGU